rnacentral:rRNA from 1 species
AAACUUUACAAUGCUGGCAACAGCGAUAAGGGGACCUCGAGUGCCAGGAUACAAUCUUGGCUGUCGCGAUGCCUAAAAAGCAUUGCAUAGCAAGGGCCGGGCAAGACCGGUGCCAGCCGCCGCGGUAACACCGGCGGCUCGAGUGGUAACCGCUAUUAUUGGGUCUAAAGGGUCUGUAGCCGGCCGGAUAAGUCUCUUGGGAAAUCCAGCUGCUCAACAGUUGGGCUUUCAGGAGAUACUGUUCGGCUCGAGGCCGGGAGAGGUGAGAGGUACUUCAGGGGUAGGGGUGAAAUCUUGUAAUCCUUGAAGGACCACCAGUGGCGAAGGCGUCUCACCAGAACGGUCCUGACGGCAAGGGACGAAAGCUAGGGGCACGAACCGGAUUAGAUACCCGGGUAGUCCUAGCCGUAAACGAUACUCGCUAGGUGUCAGCCACGGUGCGACCGUGGUUGGUGCCGUAGGGAAGCCGUGAAGCGAGCCACCUGGGAAGUACGGCCGCAAGGCUGAAACUUAAAGGAAUUGGCGGGGGAGCACUACAACGGGUGGAGCCUGCGGUUU